GGGAAUAUAGCUCAGUGGCAUAGUGCCUGCCUGGCAAGCAUGAGGUCCUGAGUUCGAUUCCUAGUACCUG
rnacentral:tRNA from 1 species